rnacentral:rRNA from 1 species
GACGAACGCUGGCGGCGUGCUUUAGGCAUGCAAGUCGAACGCGAAAGCCCCUUCGGGGGUGAGUAGAGUUGCGAACGGGUGAGUAACACGAGGGUAACCUGCCCCUCGCAGGGGGAUAACCGGGGGAAACCCCGCCUAAUCCCCCGUACGCUUGCUGGGUGACCUGCUCCGUCCAGGAAAGUAAGCUUCGCCCUCCCGCCGUGGUAGGGGCCCCCGCCCCACUAGCUAGUUGGGGUGGUAACGGCCCACCAAGGCGACGAUGGGUAGCGGGCCUGGGAGGGUGGUCAGCCACACGGGAACUGAGACACGGCCCAGACUCCUACGGGAGGCAGCAGCCAGGAAUCUUGCGCAAUGGGCGAAAGCCUGACGCAGCAACGCCGCGUGGGCGAUGAAGGCCUUCGGGUCGUAAAGCCCUGUUGUCGGGGACGAAGGGCGAAGGGUUAAUAGCCCCUAGCCUGACGGUACCCGACGAGGAAGCCCCGGCUAACUACGUG